GUGCUUGGUUUGGCAAUACAUAUAUUAAAACUGGAACAAUACAGAGAUUAGCAUUGUCCCCAAGCAAGGAUGACAUGCAGAUGGGUGAAACAUUACACAUUUUU
rnacentral:snRNA from 1 species